rnacentral:rRNA from 2 species
UACGUAGGGUGCGAGCGUUGUCCGGAAUUAUUGGGCGUAAAGGGCUCGUAGGCGGUUUGUCGCGUCGGGAGUGAAAACACUGGGCUUAACCGAGUGCUUGCUUUCGAUACGGGCAGACUUGAGGCAUUCAGGGGAGAACGGAAUUCCUGGUGUAGCGGUGAAAUGCGCAGAUAUCAGGAGGAACACCGGUGGCGAAGGCGGUUCUCUGGGAAUGUUCUGACGCUGAGGAGCGAAAGUGUGGGGAGCGAACAGG